UGCCCAUCAACACCUAUCUCUACCUUCUCGUGGUACUGGCCGGGAUACGAGCAAACGGAGGGAAGAUCGAGUAACUAAGCCCGGUGGGAACUUUGAUCGUAUGCUGACAGGGAAGG
rnacentral:ribozyme from 1 species